AGGAAGCCCUAAACCCCAAUUUCAUUUCUUCUCUCACUCACUCACGGUGCUUCUCCUUCCUCUGGUUACAAUCGAUUUUUAAACUCCUCUGCCGGCGUUAUUGUCGUCGUUCUUGCGCCUAGUGUUGCCGGAAUUUCUCUCUCCUUUUGUUCUAUUGUUGAUUCGUGUUGUACGGUGGUUGUUGCCUCCCUGCCGUUCUGUCUUUCUCUUUCCUCUGCUUCUGUUCGGUGCUGCUAUUGUUGAUGUUUCUUGCCGACGAGCUGCCGCCGUCAUUGCAUCACCUGCUUCGUUAAUGAUGCUGGCGAAUUUUCUCUCUCCUCUGUUCUGUGCUGCCGGUAUGUUGUUGUUGCUGCUGCUCCUUAUUCGUAGAUUGUUGUUGAGUUUCAAUUAAGGGAUUCUUUGUGAAGGUGGAUUGUGGGUAUUAAUCUGUGAAGGCGAAAGAGUCUUGGAAGCUUAGAAGAAGUUGUAUGUGAGAAUUGAUUUGCAUUUGAGGUAACCUUUAUGUUCAGCAAAAUGAAUUUACAUACCCAUGUUGUAUUGUGUUUUCAAUAUCAUACAUUGCUUAUAGUCAUGGCCAUGGUUAUAGAUGCAUAUUUAUAAGUUAAUUGUGAAUUGAUAUUUGAUGGUUAUGAAAGAAUAAUACUUUGUUAUAUUAUUGGAAUUGUUCGGAAACUAUAAAGUAUUCUAGAAAUGUGAUUUGAGUAUGAUAAUGAGAAAAUGUUUUCGAAAUGGUAUUAGCUGGCUUAGUUUAUGAACUGAGAUGAAGAGUGGGCAAGGUACGGGUGGAGUAAAAUGAUUCGUAUAUGAGUUAAGACUAGAUAAGGUCGAAUAUUAUGUUAAGUUAUGUUAUAAGCCUGUACUUGCCAGCGAUUUAUGUAAUGUGAUUAAGCUAUGCCAGCGAUAUAUUAAAAAGAUGAAUCAUUUCCGAACAAUUACCAACUUUGUUUCUGAUAUGAAAAUGUUUACGAACCAAAACCGUUUUGACGGGCUGAAGUAAAGUUACUGAGUUUUUCGCUCAUUUUAGUUUUGUUUUUGUUUUGUAUUUUCUUCUUUAAUUUGCAGGUUUGUAUUGGGAGCUCAUAGUGGAUCAGAAAAUAAGAAUUGGUGAUAAAGUUGUAAAUAUAUUAGUGAUUCGAAGUUAGAUUUAAAAUAUAAGUUGUUGAAUAUUAAGUUCUCAUUUGAUAUUUAAGUAUUAUAUAUAUUUGGGAUUUGAGUAAGAUAUUAUGUAAUCUGUUAUUUGGUUAUUGA